rnacentral:rRNA from 1 species
UACGUAGGGUGCGAGCGUUGUCCGGAAUUAUUGGGCGUAAAGAGCUCGUAGGCGGUGUGUCGCGUCGGCCGUGAAAACCUGGGGCUCAACUCUGGGCGUGCGGUCGAUACGGGCAUCACUAGAGUUCGGCAGGGGAGACUGGAAUUCCUGGUGUAGCAGUGAAAUGCGUAGAUAUCAGGAGGAACACCGAUGGCGAAGGCAGGUCUCUGGGCUGACACUGACGCUCAUGCACGAAAGCGUGGGGAGCAAACAGG